CACACACACACACCCACAGACAACAGAGACGGGAGGGAGGGCCCUCUCCCGUGCUUACUUGGCCAAUCUCCUGAAGUGGAAUGUGGUCAUUCAGGAAGUGGUGGUUGUACCACAUGACGCUGCACCGUCACUGUCAUUCGCCCACAAAGUAAAAGGUCACGGUGACACUGCAGAGGUGAUAUACAACUGGGGGCUGUGACACUGUCUUCUAAGAUCAUUCGAAAAACUCAAAAUAAAAUGUGACUCCAUGCCUGACUCAAUGACAGAAAUGGGACAGAUGCCCCUCGGAAAUCAGAUGAGUUAUGUGGGGCACAGACUUGACGGAGGACAGCGGACAUGUACUGAGGUGUCGCGGCGUUUCAGUCGGGACCGGGGCCGAUGGACCAGCCGACUGCGAAGUGAGCCAACUUGUCCCUCGGUGUUUUGUCGGCCCUUUCGACACCUGAGCGGAGCCUGCCGAACACACACAACAGGGCUGCCGAGGUCAGCAGGACUGGUCUCCCCUCCGCAGCUGCGCCGUCACUUGAACACAUGCCGGCGCUGCUCAGCGCGACGGCAGCCGUCACAGAGCAGCUGGUGGAAUGGCUGGGCGACCAAAGGAAAAGGGAAGAAAAGACAGUCUGCCCCUGUGCGUCGACACACGACGACACCAGCCGGAGGGAGGCGGAGCCAGAGGCAGAGGAAGGCCUGAUCGUGGACUGCUCGGCGUUUGUCAGCAGGCAUGUGCGGGUUUUGCUGACUAGGCCGCGCAUAGUGGCCGUGCUGUAUUUAGCAUGACGAUCCGGGACGUGCUGGGACAAACAUCACAGCCAGCGUUUUUUGCAGAAAAAGCUUGAAAGACAGAACCAAGCCCCCCCCCCCCCCCACCUCCAAAAAAAAAGAUGUAUCAACUGCAAAGCAUCACGUGUCCAAAUCCAGAAGAGUCUUGCGUUGUCAGCAGAGAGAGGGUCCGGUUCCAAAAGCGGACAACAAGGAUUACGGGGGUCGGCGUGGAUUCGCACAAUGUCAGCAGCGAACUGCGGACGUGUAGUCACAGAAGAUUAGAUGGUGUCGGUGCAGGCGAGUGAUUCACAGUGGAAACUUCCUGAAUUAUGGCCAGCGCGAAAUUCAUUACGAUGGAAUGCAUCGUGUUAAGACACUGAUUUGGAAAGGGGGAAAAACCGCAGGGCAAGUGCGGACAGCGGCUUGUUCGUGACACUAGACACCGACGCGGUCCACACAAGAGCGGCUGACAGACGGGCGUUCCCUUCCAGACAGCAGGUGGAGUCAGGGUGGGGUUUUUGGGAUCGUCGCCACGACGGGGGAAACUUUUUGUUUUGCUGUCUCGUGAACCACAAUCGAGGGAAAUUCUCUCGGAGAUGUAAGACGGGGCUUGAGGCAAGAGGCUCGUGGAAAUCACAUCAGCCACAAGCGGCCUGUGACUGUUCAUCAAAUCCCAGGUUCAGGACUGAGAGUAGAAAACCUGUUCACGUGAAGCCAAAACUGAGGGGAAGAAAGUAGAUGUGUUUUCCUUUUCAGAGACAAAGGACGCGUGUUGCAGGCCCAAGUUGCUGUCCACCCGCUAGAGGCGGCUGACUGAAAACUCAAAUGUGGUGCGAUGAGACGGACAGGUUCUUCUCAGCUCUGUUGAGAAAAAAACCCACCAGAGGAGUGAGAUGAUGAGAAGCAGCGACGGUGUCAGUACAUUUUUCACUUCUUGGAGCACUGAGGUUAAAAUGACAAAGUACAAGUAUUUGUGGUGACUUCCAUUGAAGUCGUGACACUGCAAGGGAUGAGGGAUACUCAAACAUUCUGAUUAUUUGAGUAUCCCUUGGUAUGAAUCAAACCAUAAAUAAAAAAAGCUUCAUGUCUUCUAGCUGGGUUAUAGACUCUCAUACCAACUAGGAGCAUCCGAGGUUUCAACGUUCUAAGGCUCACAUUAAAAAAACACACAUAUAUUCCAGUUUUCAGUUCCAGCUGAUUAUGGUAUUCUUAUAUAACUCCUUUCAUAAGAAUUUCUUAUUUUAUACCAUGUAGAAGCUAUAAUAAAAGGUAUUCUUAUCUAUCUUGUAUCAAGGUAUUCUUCGGAAUGAACAGAUGAAUUGAAUGUUUUGUUUGUCCAUACAUUUACUGAAUAUGAAUGCAUGGUUGACAAGAUGCUGUAAGCCUAUGACAUUUCCACAGCUUG